UCUCUCUCUGUGUGUGUGUGUAGCCUCUCUCCCUCUGUCUCACUCCGUCAAGCAAGUUCUGACGCCAGUCGACUACUUUUCUGGUCUCACCCGCCGCCGCUGUUGGGCAACACCGCACUGCAGUUUUUGAAUUACCGAUACAAAGAGUUGAAGAUUUAACGGAACGAUUGGCUGAUGAAUAUGAGACAUAUGUUGAGAUUGGUAUGUCAAAUAAAGAUGAUGAAGCGAAGCCCCAUGUCUUAGGUACUUCAAAACAAGGAGGAGGAGGAAAAGAUGAAUAAGACGAAGAAGAAUGAGACAAAGAAUAUUAAAAUAAUCACCUUGUUCGGGUUCAAAUGGAUACAGGCAUGGGGUCGAGGACUCUGCAUGAAGGGGAUGAGCUCGAGGUAUUCGAGGGCGAGGUGGUUGUGCCAAAACACGUGACGCUCAUAAAGUCACACAACCUCCCUUGCCUCCACUACCUUCUAUCCCUUCUUUAAUUAAUUAAAUAAUUGAUGCAAUAACUAUUAAAGAAAAAUAGAUUAAUAAUACCAACAAGGUGUUAGUUGAGGUGGUUAGCGCCUUUAAUUCCCAUAAGGUUUGAUCCCCGGUUACACUAAA